GGCUUCACUUCGAGGGUGGCGGACACGGCUGCAUCGUGUAGGUGGUGGAGAAGGACGACCGUGCGCCCCGGCGUCCUUUGUGUGGUGGCAGUCAUGCGCAGUGCUACGUCGAGACUGGAUGAAGCACGGGCGACCGUUGUGUCUAGGAGAUAUGGAAAUUGCAGCACCGUGCAGCUACAGUCCUGCAGCAGGUUGACGGGCGAAUGGUCAUAGCGGGAAGACAACGGGCAUGUCGACUGCUGCGAGUAUUCCAUUCUCGUAGACAACUACAUUUGCAUGAUGAGCAAGAGGUUGGCAACGUUGCUACAAGGCUGGACAAGUCACCUAGUGAAAUCAUUUGCUUCACCUGUUCCGAAGACCAUACAAGUUUUUUUUUUACUUUAUAUUGUAUUGACCUGAAAGGCUACAAAGUACAUCUGAUAAAUUAGGAUGAACUUUUC
rnacentral:rRNA from 1 species